UAUUUCUACGAGGUCUUCAAGGUUUACACAAAGUUAUGGAUCACCAGACACUCCUCCCCUCUUCUCUCAUGCAUCUCCAGCUCUGUCUCUUUCAUUAUUGAGGUACCUGCCGCUGUUGUCGAUCUGUAGCUGCUGGGAAGAGGUUGUAUGAAAAUUUCUCUUCUGGGAGUUAUGGAGGAGUUGGGGAGGAAGAACAACCACCAAUUCAUCCAUACCUCAACUUUCUUUCCAUGAUUCCUGAAAACGUUCAUAUCGGUACAAAAACUUAACUCCGAUUCUAUUUCAAAAGAUUGAUUAUUUUCCUCUUUUUUGUCUUUUUUUUAAUUUUUCAGCAAAAAGCACCAUCUAUGUCCAAAUUUUUUUAUUUUUUCUCCGGAAUUCUUGCCCAUCCUUGAGAUUUUCUGUAUGGGUUUUGGUUCUUUUGGAUUUGGAAGAAGAUGGAGAUCGGAGUUCGUUGCUAUCAUCUAUUCAACUUAAAUUUUUGGGGAUUUGGUUUGGAUUUCUGGUGUUUGUUUUCCAGAUUUGUAAUCACAAAAGUUUCUAAACAAUGAGAUGAUGCAACUGUUCAAAGUGCUUUAUCAUUAAGGUGAGUGAUUUUUGUUUUUUGCUUUUAGCCUUUUGUGAUUAAGAAAGUUUAGUCAUUUGUUUACUGGCUUAUUAAUUGGUGAGAAGAUGAAACAUUUUGCUGCUGGUUGCUAACAAAGUAAUACAAUCUCACAAAACAGUUUUCAUUUUUUUUUCUUUGUUUUCUUUAAUUAUGUAUCAUUUUUUAUAAAAAAAUUCGUAUAUAGUUUUGGAAAUUUUUAUUUGGUUAGAGAAAGGGGAACAAUAUAGGAAAAAGGAGUUGAGUGCUGUUGUUUUUGUCUUCAGAGUUUCGUCAAGAUUUGAAAAACAGUGAAAAGAUAUUAAACUUAUGGUCAAAAUUUUAACAAAAAAUGCGACUGGGAUGAGAGGGUAUUGUCAGAGUUCAUUAUGGUAAAAUAUUGUCAUGCAUGACAGUAUUAUAUAAUCAGUUUGAUAAAUUAAAAUGGUGUGAUUAAAUAAGAUUAUCUGUCGUGCCAUGCUCUGUGUAUUUGAGAUUGCUUUUUUUUUUUUUAAAUUUUAUUUCUAUGUAUGGUCCACUAAACUUCUGGUUCCCUAAUCAUUUGACAUAAUUUUAUUUCCACUUUUAAAAGUUUUUCCUGUAAUUUUCUGUAAUAUAAGGAUUGUUUUGUUAC